rnacentral:rRNA from 1 species
UACGUAGGCAGCAAGCGUUGUUCGGAAUUACUGGGCGUAAAGAGUGUGUAGGCGGCCGUUUAAGUUCGGUGUGAAAUCUCCCGGCUCAACCGGGAGGGGGCGCCGGAAACUGGACGUGCUGGAGCGUGGGAGAGGAAAGCGGAAUUCCUGGUGUAGCGGUGAAAUGCGUAGAGAUCAGGAGGAACACCAGCGGUGUAGACGGCUUUCUGGACCACAGCUGACGCUGAGACACGAAAGCGUGGGUAGCAAACAGG